rnacentral:lncRNA from 1 species
CAAAUGCACACAAACUUGCUGACUGUCCAUUGGUUCCUCUCCUUUGAAUUUCACUUUCAAUACCGGAGCAAAUGGCAGCCGUCUGGAAGAGAAAUGAGUCUUCAGUAAUUGAUCAGAUAGGAGAUGACUUGCUCUCCUGGGUGAGUACAAUUCUCAGGCUGAGAUUGUAUUUCCUCCUUUCAAACAUUUUCUUAUAUUGAAUGAAUCUCGAGAUGACUGAUGUGGUUUGGGGAAAACUGUUGUGCACAUUGGAAUUGAACUGUUCUCCUGAAUUGCUUUUUAGUCAGAAAAAUGUUGCUGGUGUGAAGCUGCAUUUAUUAGCCUCAGUUCCCCUCAUAUUCACAAGUUAUAUAAAAUACAUUCAUCUGGACAUACAUAAAAUGUACGUUUACAACACAGAGGCAUGAUUUUUAGCUUGCUUAAAAUGAAUUUCAAAACUUUGACCAAAUCCCUGAAGAGCAGAAACCUCAGACAUGAAAUAAAAGAAUAAGGCGGAGGCAGGAGUGUGAUAUGAAACCCUGACUCUCAGUAAACGGUUUUGUCAGACAGUGCUUUAGGUUUCAUGGGCCUCACUGCAUCGGUUUGGUAUAUUAGAUGUGUAGUUGCCACAUAUCUGCUGACAGCCUUGUCUGAAACAUUACUAUUGAGGAUAAGUAGGGUAAACAGUCCCCUGAGGGUCCAAGUAUUGACUUAGCCUCCAUCAAAAGUGAAGUGGUCUAUUGUACGAUGAAGGAGUUAAACCUGGCAGUCGCUCCUCUUGGUUCUUCUUUAAGACAAAGCAGAGGAAGGACUCAUGCUUUACAUGUGCUCCAAACUCAGUCAAUAUUUACACUUCACACUUUUUUUGUUUGUUUGUUUGCAUGAUUCAUUCAAGGAAAUCUGUCUCUUUCAUGUCUUUUGAGAAGGUAGAAAGGAACAAAUUGUUUCCCAGGCUGCAUUUUCUGAUUUUGAAGUGGGGAGUUAUGAGGUACUUGUCAAAGUACUACCUCAUAUUACCCACAGGGGAUACGGGUCAGUUAAGCCCCUUUUGCUGAGAAACAGGCUGGAGAACCAGCACCAGAGCUUUGCCAGAAACUGCUGCAGGUAUCAACUCAAUUGUGUAGCUGAUUCUAAGAAACUCUGACAGAAAUACUUGUGUAAUUUUGGAAAAAGAAAAAAAUCACGCUUGACAAAAACUAGAGGUACGAUGUGUUGAAGCAAAAUUUAGAGAGAAUCAAGGAAAUCACACUGACAUGAAGCAAAAAUAAAAUAAUAAAGAGAAGGCUAAAUGGUUCUCAGGUGAUCUCUGUAUAGAAAGACCAUGACAAACAAAUUGGUUUAAGAAUGAGAGAGUUUGAGGGUAGUACGCUGUCAUGCAUAUAACACUGUUACCUCAUUAUAUGCUAGAGAUAAUGCAUUGUUUCUGUGAGACUGGAGCUUCAUAUAUUCAAAAGUGUGGGAGAAACUAAUAAAAUGUAUAAGGUCAACACCAGAAGCAGAGACAUAAUGUUCCUUUCUCAGAUUCUCUUUGGUUCAAUGUUAAUACUGCUGCUUUGUGAUGGUUUGUUCAGUAGUCUGUCUUACUAAAAAAAGAAAAGAAACAGAACAUUGAGAGCAUGGCAGCAGGUACGAUUAAUACUGUCAGUAAAGCACCUAUCUGUCAUUAUUUCUGUACACACGUGAAGCUGUAAUGAUGUUAUAUACCUGCAGGAACAUCCUCAGAGCAAGCUGCUUCUAAUGGACAUGGUUCCAAAAGCUGCUCUCGCUCUCCUGCAGUUUUAUUCAGACACUUUAAAGUUUGCUCCACUCAGUCACAAAUACUUUGUGAAUCGCCGAGUCCAUCAAAGGGAGCUAAAUUAUAAUCGACUUUCAGAGGUGACAGUUUAAAACUGAGACCGCUCUUCACACGCAUUUAUAUUCUCCUGGCCUUACAACUAAGUAAUCAGCCCAGUAAAUCUUUCUGGCUGGUUUUACAGCUUUGUUGCACCAAUAAGUGAUUUAUGAUUAAAUUAGUUUUUCUCUCCUGAGAUCUUUAAAUCAACCAGAUCCUGUGAGGCAUUAGAUUCAGUGUGGAAACUGAUUCACUCAGGUUGCUAUUAUCUUAAUAAAAAAAAACACCACAAUUCUCUUUGUACUUGAUAAAACACAACGGCUCAAAUCAGUGAAAUCAACCCUGCAAGAAAAGUAGAAGAAAGAUGAAGCAAGGUUGAGCGUGGCAGCAUGCCAACCAUCAGUGAAUUACACAGACAAAUGAAGGGAUUAACAUUUUAAUGCAGCUGGAGGGGUGGUGCACAUUUUAGGAAAUGUCUGGCCCAUUAUUUGCUUCAUUAUUUUAGUCUUGGCUGGAGUUCUGGCCUCACACAGAGAGAGCACACUAAGGAUAAAGUAUAACCAGCCAUUACAGGAUCAUAAUGCCCCCCCUGCUUUAUCAUAAUUUUUGAGAACGAUGGUGUGUUAAUGGGAUGAAGAAAUAUCAAUUUGCUGGACAGCCCCCUGCAGAACUAUGGAGGCCUAACUCCUUUUUGAUGUCAUAAUGUCUUUACAGAAAGUGCAGCAGAGAAGGACAAAGUGAAGCAGGCAGCAGACUGCUGUAGGAAGAUCCUCCAUCACAUCCACCAGGCUGUGAAGGAAUCUGAGGACAAGCAGGUGUGCUGUUCCUUAAAAUCCCCUUUCUGUUUUAUACCAUCCUCUAAACUUUCCCCGUCUUUCAUUUCUGUCUCCUCUUAAGUCCUUCCUUCUUUUUCCCUCCUGCUUCUGCUUCCCGUUCAGUUAUUUCUUCUUAAAGUGUGCCUACUUAUCCUCUUUCUGUCUCCACUUCUUUCUGUCAAUUUUCCUGAGGGAAUAUAAGAGAAGACUGGACCUCUCCUCUUUAAAGCAGACAGGCAACCCCAUGAUCCUUGAGCUCAAGGCGAGCUAUCCGCUCAGAUAUUAGUUAUCAUGAUCUUGAUGGAGUCACACAGGUAUGAAUCUCACAAGGAAACCUGGUGUCUCCACUCUAUCCUGCCAGAUAACAAGUCCUCCACAUAUCAGAAAACAGAGCUGACAGCACUCACGGUCUCAGAUCCCGAUCUAUAAGCCUACACAUUUUUAUUCCAUUGAUUGAUUAAAUUCUUACUGUUCUGUUUGUAAAUGGCCUACUGACUGUUUUUUCUUCUAACAGGGUGGCAGCGUUUAAUCACCUAGACAGCAGAUGCCAUAAAAGUGAAACCUCUCACUGUCACAUCAUCGCUUCACACUGAGUUUGUCGCUUUAUUGUCGUUCUAAUUUGAUUCUCAGAGCUGCAACUUGUUACUGAUUCAAAAUGUUGCUUGUGUGCCAGCAGAGAGAGAGAGGAUGGGGUGGAGAUAAUUAAAAGCAGGUGUUUCCAGGCUGAGAAAAGACCCAGCUAACACAUCCACUGGUUGCACCCAACAGCAGACAGCAAUGUCUUUAAUUUUCCUGUCUGAACAGCUCUACUUAACUGUAUCGAUAAUCCUCUUAAGAUAACUGUUUUAAUUCCUCUUUAGAUAAAGAGAGGAGUCCAGCCUCGAGACAUGCGAUACCUGCUUCUUUAUUUGGUACUAAUUUCUUAAAGGAAGGGAAGGGAAAGCAGUGGAAGAGGAUGAAGAGAAAGUUCUGUGAAGCUUUAAGGCCAUAAAGAAGACCUGUUUCCCAGCAGCUCUAAGGAAAGUGUUGUUGACCCAGCUGAUAACCCAGGGGGCUGCAGAGGAAACGAAACUGCCCAUAUGGGUCUCUCUCUUUGGGAUAAACUCCAGAUAAACAUCGAAUUCCUUAAAGUGGAG